GAGGUGGUUCAGUGGUAAAGCAUCUGUUUUGCAUGCAGAAGGUCCCUGGUUCAAUCCCCAGCAUCUCCA